AAUAUCAUUUCACAAAUAGUUACAAAUAAUCAAAUAGGGUGUGCCACACAAUCAAUCCUCACUGAUACCUAUCAGAAAAUCAAAACUUAGCAACGCAAACUCAAAUCUAGAUAGUCUUCUACGGCCUUGGAUCCAACUAGCAGCAGCCAUCCGGCCAUCUUCAUUGACGGCGAGUUCUUGGGAGGCGGAGGACAAGGAGGAGCAUGGCUGAACUCUAAUUGUAGUUUGUCCCCUUCUUCAUCCUCGAAGCCUUCCACGUUGUUUUCUAUAUGCCUAUUUUAAAGCGCCAUAAUGGUCUUGAUAUGACCCAAGAACUCGUCGUCGAUGAAGAUGGCCGGAUGGGCUACUGCUGGUUGGAGCAAAGGCCGUAGAAGACUGUCUGGAUUUGAGUUUGUGUUGCUAAGUUUUGAUUUUCUGAUGGGUAUAAGUGAGGAUUGAUUGUGUGUGGCACAACCAAUUUGAUCAUUUGUAAUUAUUUGUGAAAUGAUAAUGUGGCGUAUUGAGAUUA